UUAUGCCUUUCCAUUUGGUGAUUGAUUUUGUCAAUGAUUAAGCCUAUCUUUGCAAUCUGGUUUAUUAUUUGCUAAAAUAUAAUCCGGAGUUAGGUGUAUGAGGGUGCCGAAAAGAAACCAAGAUUGUAUGGAUGAUGGGGAAACCUUGAGAAAAGAGAAGAAAAAUUAGUGUGAAUCCUGAAAUCCUUUUCGAUAUCAUGUCCCAGUAGGUUGUUAAGAGAUUUCAGGCAAAUAGGCUUGAAGUGCGAAGUGUUAGAUCUGUUUUUUUUUGGGUUGCCCAAGCUCUGCUCCGACUCAUUCACCCUGCUCCAGAUUAGUAAGGCAAAAGGAUUCUGCGGCAGAAAGCCAGAAAGAAGAAAUUAGAAAAAAAAAAAAAAAAAAAACGCAGUUGCACACGAUCUCCAGAUUAGAGGAGAACUGCCCGGGCACGAUCUCAACACAGACGGAGGCUCAGGACGACGUGGGAAUUGAUUGGAGUAUAAAUGGAUUAUGCAAAUGGAAUUGCCCGGGCACGAUCUGCAUCAAUACUCAUUCCUCUUCCAAUUCACGGUUAUUGCGAACGUAGAAAACAAACACAGAAAAUAGAACAGAGCAGAAUCAAACCCAGAAGGAGGGGAAAGAGAAAGAAACAAAUCGGCUGACAAUUUGCAAACUUGAUAAUUCCCAUUGGAGUAAUUGUGAAGUUUGCUGUGAUCCUUGGGUAAUUCAGAAGUUUGCUGUGAUCCUUGGGUAAUUGAUUUCAAGUUACAGACUCCCUUAAAUUUCAAGCUUCAAGAACUGGAUCUAAUUGUUAAGACUAGAUGUGCAGUACCUUCAUCUUAAUGCAGCUAUUGAUUCCAGCAUAGGCCUUAACCUAGCCCCUCUUUUUACAGUUACCAGCAACAAUUGGAAGUAAGGAUAUUAGUUUGUUUGGUGAAAUUGGAAUUGAAGUCCAUAUUAGGUAUGCCAUUACAUGCUUGAUCAGUGAUUCAGUUGGUUUGUAGUUUUCGAUUGCACUAAAUUUAUGAUGCAUUAGCAAUUAAGGAAGAAUUGCUCGAAGCUGUGAGGAAUUAAGGAGCAUAUAAUUGAACAAAGGUUAUUACCUGAUUUCUAGAGUCUGUCCAUCUUUCUAAUUUUUCUUUGUCAAUUUUUUUGUUAUCACUAAAAUAAAAUAAAUGUUAUGUUCACUAUAUACGUAGGAACUAAUUGGUUCUGCAGAUUAGGGAGACGAAGGGACCAAGAAAUUGAAGGCAAGAAGGAAGAGCAUAAACUGACAUGAAAGACAACUCAUAGGGGUAGAACUGAAAGCAGAUCGAUAAGGACCUGUUGAUCCAUAUUCAAGCAUGUAUAUAUGAAUGGCAGAUUGGACAGUAGAUAUAAAAUCAUGCUCAGCUAGCAAAACUGAAAGCAGAUCGAUAAGGACCUAUUGAUCUACAUUCAAGGUUCUUACCGAGGGUAAACAAAAGGAAGUACUUAAAGCUGACGGUGCAUUGUUUUCACAUAUUUGUGAGGUUUAGGCAAGGUUAAUGUGCAUCACAUUUAUGGACAAGUAUCGUGGGGGUUAAU